CAAAUUAUAGCAUAUAAAAUGCCUUUUACUUACACUAAAAAAAAAAUAUUAUUAUUUAAUUUGA
rnacentral:tRNA from 1 species